rnacentral:rRNA from 1 species
CCUACGGGAGGCUGCAGUGAGGAAUAUUGGUCAAUGGACGCAAGUCUGAACCAGCCAAGUAGCGUGCAGGAUGACGGCCCUCCGGGUUGUAAACUGCAUUUAGUUGGGAAUAAAAGAGGGCUCGUGAGCCCGUAUUGUAUGUUCCAUCCGAACAAGGAGCGGCUAAUUCCGUGCCAGCAGCCGCGGUAAUACGGAAGGUUCGGGCGUUAGCCGGAUUUAUUGGGUUUAAAGGGAGCGUAGGCAGGCUUGUAAGUCAGCUGUGAAAGUCCGCGGCACAAGCGUGGAAUUGCAGUUGAAACUGGAGGCCUUGAGUGCACACAGGGAUGCCGGAAUUCAUGGUGUAGCGGUGAAAUGCUUAGAUAUCAUGAAGAACUCCGAUCGCGAAGGCAAGUGUCCGGGGUGCAACUGACGCUGAGGCUCGAAAGUGCGGGUAUCAAACAGGAUUAGAUACCCUGGUAGUC